AUGGUUUUGAUCAGGAGGAUUUCCAAGUCUUCUGUUGUGAUGAAGGACAGCUACUCACAGAGCCGUGUCUCUCAGAGGUUGUUGUACGACGACUCGACCAGUUUGUAUCACUGUGGUACACGUUUGGUGGAGGAACCAGACUGGAGAUGUAAAAAGUUAAACUGCUGGAUGAUUUUCUCUGAGCUGAUCUGCAUCAGAGGUGAUGUUCGUCCCAUCCUGACGGUGCUGCCUCCCUCCAGUGAGGAGCUGCAGCAGGGGAAGGCCACGCUCAUGUGUCUGGCCAACAAGGGCUUCCCCUCAGACUGGAGUCUGUCCUGGAAGGUGGACGGCAGCAGCAGCAGCUGGGAGGAGGACAGGAGCCCCGUGGUGAUGAAGGACGCCCUCUACAGCUGGAGCAGCACCCUGAGGCUCACUGCAGACCAGUGGAGGAAGGUGGGCUCUGUGACCUGUGAGGCCACCCAGGGCUCCCAGUCUCCAGUCUCAGAGUCACUCAGGAGAGACCAGUGUUCCCAGUACUGAUGGGACUCACUGUGAUGCUGGUUUUACUUUGCUAAUUCUUUCAGUUUGAUUCAUGUGGUUUUUCACCUGCUUAA